GCUCCUACGGGACGCAGCAGUGGGGAAUAUUGCGCAAUGGGCGAAAGCCUGACGCAGCGACGCCGCGUGAGGGAUGAAGGUUUUCGGAUCGUAAACCUCUGUCAGAAGGGAAGAAAGUGCGUGGUGCUAAUCAGCCGCGUAUUGACGGUACCUUCAACGGAAGCACCGGCUAACUCCGUGCCAGCAGCCGCUGUACUACGGAGGGUGCUAGCGUUAAUCGGAAUUACUUGUCGUAAAGCGCACGUAGGCUGUUGUGUAAGUCUGGGGUGACAUCCC
rnacentral:rRNA from 1 species